rnacentral:misc_RNA from 1 species
GAUGAAGAACGCAGCGAAAUGCGAUAAGUAAUGUGAAUUGCAGAAUUCAGUGAAUCAUCGAAUCUUUGAACGCACCUUGCGCCCUUUGGCCAUUCCGAAGGGCAUGCCUGUUUGAGUAUCAUGAACACCUCAACUCUUUAUGGUUUUCCAUGAUGAGCUUGGACUUUGGGGGUUUUGCCGGCCUAUGGUCGGCUCCUCUAAAAUAAAUCAGCUUACCGGUGUUUGGUGGGUAUCAUGGGUGUGAUAACUAUCUACGCUUGUGGUUUUUCCACCAGGUAACCUUCGACAGCGGAGGUUCACUGGAGCUCAUAGAUGUCUCUCCUCAGCGAGGACAGCCCUUUGAAUGUUUGAUCUCAAAUCAGGUAGGACUACCCGCUGAACUUAAGCAUAUCAAUAAGCGGAGGA